rnacentral:miRNA from 1 species
UGAUGAUGAUUAUGACGACGACGAUGACGAUGACGGUGGUGAUGAUGAUGACGGUGAUAGUUGUUGUUGUUGUCGUCGUCGUCUUCUUCUUUGUUG